rnacentral:rRNA from 1 species
AGUGGGGGAUAUUAGUCAAUGGAGGAAACUCUGAACUAGCGACGCCGCGUGAGGGAAGAAGGUCUUCGGAUUGUAAACCUCUGUCUUCGGGGAAGAUAAUGACGGUACCCGAGGAGGAAGCUCCGGCUAACUACGUGCCAGCAGCCGCGGUAAUACGUAGGGAGCAAGCGUUAUCCGGAUUUAUUGGGUGUAAAGGGUGCGUAAGCGGGAAGGCAAGUUGAAUGUGAAAUACCGGGGCUCAACUCCGGGGCUGCGUUCAAAACUGUUUUUCUUGAGUACAGCAGAGGCAAGCGGAAUUCCCAGUGUAGCGGUAAUAUGCGUAGAUAUUGGGAGGAACACCGGUGGCGAAGGCGGCUUGCUGGGCUGCAACUGACGCUGAAGCACGAAAGUGUGGGGAGCAAACAGGAUUAGAUACCCUGGUAGUCCACACUGUAAACGAUGAUUACUAGGUGUGGGGAGAUUGACCCUCUCCGUGCCGCAGUUAACACAAUAAGU